rnacentral:tRNA from 1 species
GCCCUGGUGGCGGAAUUGGUAGACGCGCUAGGUUGAGGGCCUAGUGUCUUUAACAGGACGUGCUGGUUCGACUCCAGUCCAGGGCACAA